AUAAAUAUUCAAUGGUUUUGCUCAGAUUAUCUGAUUUAUUGGCAUAUAAUUGGACAAAAUAUUUCUUAAUGAUUGCUUUAUUAGUGAUGCUGACUGUGCUUCUAACCUUUUAGACUAUUAUAUCUCAACUUGUUAUCUCAUCUGGGAACUUCCCUCAACAACUUGGGCCUUCUCUCUAUAGAAGAUCCAGUAACUCCCAUGACCAUCUCACUCUGGAACAUCCCUUUGGUGAAAUCUUCUCAGGCCUUCAUUCUGGAGAGGGACUUGGGUUAGACAGCCUUCAUUAUUCUUCUGGCUCUGCUUCUGAAUUUCUAGGUGCCGGGGCCCCGUUCAGGUAAAUUUACCCCCAUCCCUGCUUUUCAGCAUCUUUUUAUAUGUUGUCUUCUCCCAGGAGAAUCUUAAGUACCUCAGGUGCAGGGAACGGUUUUCUUUUUUGCUUGUAUCAUAUUCCCAGCACCUAGCACAGUGUUUGGCAUAUAAUCAAUUCUUGUUGUCUAUAUCCUGCUGCUCUGGAGAUUUGGUUGUAUUCUCUUUCUCUGGUGAUUAAGACCUGGCUGUAUCCUUGCCCUCUCCCUUUCUCUUGUCAUCUCACGGGUAUCUCAAGUUUAAUGCCUUCCUUUUUGUGAGUUAAAAUGUUAAGACAUGGAUCCACAGACUUUCUGAAUCUACUGGCUAGUGUGGCUUUUCUGUAUGAAUCUCUAAGGCCCUAAAAGGAAUCUAGCAUGACCUGGGUUAACUAUAUUAACUCCCUUUGGAGAAGUUAAAAAUACUUUGUAUAUUAAUUUAUGACAAUUUAAAUUGAUUAUGACAUUACCCAGUAAAGCUUUCGUCACUGAGAUUCUCUCUUGGACAAAAAUGGGUAAGAUGCUGAAAAUAUCUAUUCACCCUUCCUACUCAUGAACCCCCUUUAGACAAACCAUUUCAGUGAAUACACUUAAUCUACAAGGACAAAUUCAUAUACCCUACACUUAUAUUUUCCCCAUUUUUCCAGCUUUUUAUAUUUUGACACUGUUCUUUGUGUUUUGUGGAGUCUUUAAUUUUUGUGUGUGUGUAAUCUAGUUUUUAGAGACACUAUUACCUGGACUAGGCUAACUAAUUUCUCUUUUCUUUUCUUUUUUUCUCCUUCCAGUUCCUUCUCCAAAGGUUGUAUUUCUUUUCCUCCUUUUGGAUCUUAUUUCACUUAUUCCAGGUGUUCACAUUUUUUCCUUUGACUCUAUACUUGUCAUUGUGUCAGUAGUACACUAUUCCUCCUUUCGAGGAAUAGUUAAAUUUGCAAUAAAUUUUGAAACUAUUUAGUCAUGAGUAAUGAAAAGCAAAUAGUGGGUCCAGUGCAUUAAUAAGAACUGGUUCUUAAUUUUGGGUUAUGUUCUCCGUGAAAUACAGGGGAAACUGUGCCUCAACAAGGAACUACAAUGGAAAAUAAGAGGAUGAUUACCCUUCAGUGAAGGAAGAAUUACUGUCUGGCAUUCUCAGAGAUGACUCAAGCAGGAAGAUGAAUUCAAUCAUAGACCUAUCUUGCUAGAAGAUGUCUACCAUAAGAAGGGAAAGUACAAAGAAAAAAAAAUAUGAAGUGUUUGUUCAGUAGCAUCCAAAAGACUUUAUGUUCUGAUGACUUGAUUGAAUUCUUGUGUGAGGAACAGAACCGGCAUGGAAGAAGAGAGACCUUCCUUCCCAACUUGAGAAAGGACACAGGUGCUUCCAGAUUGUCUUUUGGGAAAAGUCUGGAGAGGGAGAAAAAAGACUUUGUGAAACAGCAGACAUGUAUAGGAGCUGGCACUUCAACAUGCCCCUGAUUUCCAGAUUACCUCCCUAGAGACUUCAGGGAAUUUCUCCUGGAGUGAGAAUAGGCACUCCCUGUUCCCAGUGGGAGAGCUUGUUCACUUUGCAUAUUCUGCAUUCUAUUCUAAUAUCUCUGACUUCUUUUAGCUCUCUUUGGUAUUUGCAUGAAUAAAUGAGUUUAUUCACCAUUCA